rnacentral:rRNA from 1 species
UGGGGAAUAUUGGACAAUGGGCGCAAGCCUGAUCCAGCCAUGCCGCGUGCGGGAAGAAGGCCUUCGGGUUGUAAACCGCUUUUGUCAGGGAAGAAACGCUCUGGGCUAAUACCCUAGGGUAAUGACGGUACCUGAAGAAUAAGCACCGGCUAACUACGUGCCAGCAGCCGCGGUAAUACGUAGGGUGCAAGCGUUAAUCGGAAUUACUGGGCGUAAAGCGUGCGCAGGCGGUUAUGCAAGACAGAUGUGAAAUCCCCGGGCUCAACCUGGGAACUGCAUUUGUGACUGUAUAGCUAGAGUACGGUAGAGGGGGAUGGAAUUCCGCGUGUAGCAGUGAAAUGCGUAGAUAUGCGGAGGAACACCGAUGGCGAAGGCAAUCCCCUGGACCUGUACUGACGCUCAUGCACGAAAGCGUGGGGAGCAAACAGGAUUAGAUACCCGUGUAGUCCCUGAGCGGGCUGGCAAGGCGCAU